rnacentral:rRNA from 1 species
AGUGAACGCUGGCGGCAGGCCUAAUACAUGCAAGUCGAGCGAACACACGAUAAGCGUUCUCCUCUGACGUUAGCGACUGACGGACGAGUAAGACAUAGAUAACCUACCAAUAAUACUGGGAUAACUUCGGGGAAACGCAGCUAAUACCAGAGAAUACAAUCAACGGCAUGAAUCAAUAGUUAAAGAGACUUUUGCUGUCACUUAGAGAUGGAGCCGUAACUGAUUAGCUAGUUGGUAAGGUAACGGCAUACCAAGGCGACGAUGCGUAGCUGAUCUGAGAGGAUGAUCAGCCACACUGGAACUGAGACACGGUCCAGACUCCUACGGGAGGCAGCAGUGGGGAAUAUUGGACAAUGGGCGAAAGCCUGAUCCAGCCAUACCGCGUGAGUGAAGAAGGCCUUCGGGUUGUAAAGCCCUUUUGUUGGGAAAGAAAAGCAGCAUGUGAAUCCCCCGCUGUUUUGACGGUACCCAAAGAAUAAGCACCGGCUAACUUCGUG